rnacentral:rRNA from 1 species
AAAUUACCGAGCGCACUUACCCGCCCUGGUGCUCUUUACUGAGUGUCGAGGAGGGCCGGCACAUUUACUGUGCACAAAUUAGAGUGCUCAAGGCAGGCAAAAUUACGCCUAAAUAGUGGUGCAUGGAAUAAUAGAAUAAGACUUUGGUUUUAUUUUGUUGGUUUUUUGAACCUAAGGUAAUGAUCAAUAUGGACGGUCGGGGGCAUUCGUAUUGCGACGUUAGAGGUGAAAUUCUUGGAUCGUCGCAAGACGCACAAGAGCGAAAGCAUUUGCCAAGUACGUCUUAAUUGAUCAAGAACGAAAGUUAGAGGCUCGAAGGCGAUCAGAUACCGCCCUAGUUCUAACCAUAAACGAUGUCAGCCAGCGAUCCGUCGGAGUUUAUAUCAUGACUCGACGGGCAGCUUCCGGGAAACCAAAGCUUUUGGGUUCCGGGGGAAGUAUGGUUGCAAAGCUGAAACUUAAAGGAAUUGACGGAAGGGCACCACCAGGUGUGGAGCUUGCGGCUUAAUUUGACUCAACACGGGAAAUCUCACCAGGCCCUGACAUUCGAAGGAUUGACAGAUUGAUAGCUCUUUCUUAAUUGAGUGGGGAGUGGUGCAU